UUCCCUAAAAGUGGAAGCACUGCUUCAA
rnacentral:sRNA from 1 species